rnacentral:lncRNA from 10 species
GCACAGAACUGGUAAUUUGCAGAUUAAGAAACAGCUAAUCAGAGGCAGAAUCAGGAUCAGAAUUUGGGCUCUAGACCCUCAGGCUGUGGUAUUUUCAGGCAGGAUUCAGAAGACGUUUGUUUAAAAACCCUAGCUUCUCAUCUCUGUCAAAUGCAGCUUCCAAUAAAAUGCAAUCACUUUUUACUCCUGAAUCAUAUCGUAGAUGCCUCUGUGAAGUAGAAACAAAUCAAAAUGAAAGUGGUACCUCAGGGCCACUCAACGGACUACUCAUAUUUUGAUUCCUCAGCUAACCAAUAAAAAUGUAUCAUGCCCUACUAUGAGUAACGCUGUGAGCUGCACUUCCACUGUCUAAGCAAGCAACAGAGUUAAGAAAUCCCAACAUAUCAAAGAAACUCAGUGAUGUUAGAGCUCGAAAGCCUGCCUAAGAGAACCCUCAUUUACUGCUGGUGAAAUGUAAAUUUGUACAUGCUUGCUAGAAUGCAAUUUGGCAGUCUGUACAAAGAGCCUUCAAAUCCGUCACCAUACAUACAGGGCAGAGUUUGGCUGCUGUGGUGGAAAGGGCAGGAAUGUGGAGAAAGACACAGCCUUGAACCCAGACACACACCCUAAAGACUGAGUCUGAGCUUACAUGAAAGACCCCCAACCCCUAGCACUAGCCUAGCACAGAGUAACAAGCAAGAGUAGUCAACUGCUGAGGUAAGGCAGGAGUGUGGGGAGACCUCCUCUGUGCUGCAGGUGUGCAGAGAAAGCUCAGGGUGGAGCACUAACACUAAGCAAAAUUCUCUGAUGCCCCAGACUCCACCCCAAGCAGAAAGCAAUGGCAGCCUUCCACUGAGGAAUCUGAAGCCUGAAACAAAAUGUAAACUCAGCUCAACUCCUGCCAAAACAGGCUCCACCUCUCACAUUUGCAGCACAGAAGAAAAAGUAUGAGUAUGCUCAUUUCCAGGUAAAAAUAUUAUUUAACUCAAUCUCUCCCCUCCUACACACAAUAUCCAGUGUUCUAUCUAGUAGGAACAACAUGCAUGAAAAAUAGGGAAGUGCAGCAAAGGCAUGGGAUUCUUAGCAAAGAGUCAAAUGGAAACAUUUGAUAAGAAAAAUUGCAAUAUCAGAGUAAAUUGCUUUGUGGGCUCCUCAAUAGACUUCACACAGUUGAGGCAGGAUCCAUUGAACUUACAGAUAUGUCACUUUAAGUUAUUUAAAAUAAAAACAUUAAGGAGAAAAAAGAGUGGAAAAGAAAGAACAGAGCCUCCAAGAGCUGUGGGAUGAUACAAAACAGCUAAUGAGAGCUGCAUAAGGAGAAGAGAUAGAAUGGGACAGAAGACAUACUUGAAGAGAUAAUGAAUGGUCAAGAAUUUUCUUGGAGUGAUGAAAGGCAGAAAAAUACAAAUCCAGAAAGCUCAGGAGAUGCCAAGCAAGAUAAACAAUAAACAAACUCCAACUAGACACAAUAGUCAAAUUGCUGAAAAUGAAAUAUAAAGGAACAAUCUCGAUGGUAGCCCAAGGAAAAAAGACACAUCUCAUACAGAGAACAAAGAUAAUAGGUAGAGUGGCCUCCUCAUCAGAAAUUAUGCAAUCCAGAAAAAAAGAAGUGACAUCUUUAAAUACUGACUGUCAAAUAAGAAUUCUACACCAAAUGAAAAUACCUUCAAGGAGUAAUAAAGACUUUUUAAGGUAAACAAAAGCUAAGAGAAUUCAUCAUCAGCAGACCUGCAAUACAUAAAAUGUUCAGUUCUUCAGAUAGUAGGAAUAUGACAGUAAACAGAAACUUAGGCCUGCACCAAGAAAUGAAGGGCUCUGGAAAUGGCAAAAAAUGAAGGUAAGGAAGAGACCAGGGAGGAGGCUAAGUGAUUUACAUGGAGUCACAGAGCUUGGUGCUUGGCCAAGACCCCAGGUUUCCCAACUCCCAGUCCUGUCCUUAGCAUAUGUCUAGUGGGAAGCACAUUUCAUCAGGAAUGAGAAGACAAGGCCCCACUCUCACUCUUCUACACCCACUUUCAUGAGAGCUGAUACUGAGAAUGUGCCUUAUCCUUAAUGAACUUAUCUCCUCAUCUGUGCGGUGGAUACAAUACCUCCACUGCCUCCAUCACAGGGGUGUCAAGAGGAGACAUGAGAUAAUUUGUAUUAAAAGAAGGACAUUCACAGAUGAGGAAAUCUGUGAAAAUCUGAAAAAUUUGAUUUUUUGAAGACCCUAAAAAUGAAAAUACCUUGCCAAAGGUCACAAAGCUCCCAUCAGUUGUCUAACCCCAAGUUCAUAUUUUUUUCGCUAGACCAGGUCAUGCUGUCACCGUACUUACUUUGUAGUGUACUAAUAUAUACUUAUGUCUUACUAUUUUUGCAUUUUUGGAGCACCUAAGAGUGUGUUAAGAGAGAAACAUUGCAUUGUGGCAGGACAGGACAGUGGUUAAGGGCUAGAUUGCUUAGGUUCAAAUUCCAGGCCUGCCCCAUACUAGCUAAUUAACCUUAGGUAAGUUUACUUAAAUUCUCUGUAUUGCAGAUCUCUUAUCUGUAAAAUUAGGCUAAUAAUAGUACUUACUCAUAUCAUAGUUGCUAUGGUUUGAAUAUGCCCCCCUAAUUUUAUAUGUUAGAAACUUAAUCUCCAAAUUCAUAUGUUGAUGGAAUUUGAAGGUAGGGUCCUUGGCAGGGAUUAAUGAUUAGAUAAGAUCAUCAGGGUAUGGCCUCCACAAUGGGAUUGGUGGCUUUAUAAGAAGAGGAGAAAGACCUGAACUGGACAUGCAUACUCUUGUUCUCACCAUAUGAUGUCCUCCGCCAUCUUGACAAGGCCCUCACCAGAUGCAGCCCCUCAACCUUGGACUUCCCAGCCUCCUGAACUAUAAGAAAUUUUUUUCUUUAUAAAUUACAAGUCUGUGGUAUUCUGUUAUAGCAACAAAAAAUGGACUAAGACAAUAGACUGUCAUGAGGAUAAAUGAGUUAGUAAGUGUAGAGUCUUAAGAAUGGUGCUUGGCAUUUAGUAAACAUUAUAACAAUUAGAUGUUAUAUUAUUUGUAUUACUUAUUAUACAGACAUUUAGAAAUGUAUGAAAUGACUGCAUCUCACAAGGAUAUUAUGAAAUAAUUUGGGUAGAAAAGACAUGGCGAUCUAAAGUAAGCCUUGAAAGAUAAGGUACUAAAUCAGGUGGAUCUUAUGAGGGAUGCAAAGGGUCUUAGAGGAGCAUGAGCUCAGAACAGGCUGUGUCUGUGAGCCAUGCUGGGAUCAGGAGCAGCUGAGAGGAAUGGGAAGCUCAGGCAAAGCUGGAGUUGAUUUAAAAUGAUAGACAUAUGUGGUAUAUAACAUGAUCUACAUGAUAGAAUAUGAUAGAAAUAUAUGGGUACUAUUGAUGUCAGGGACCUGGAAAAACAACUGCCUCUGCUGGGAAAUGUGGAAUUGCUUGCUUAUUUCUUCUUUCUCAGUGUUUCUGAAAAACCCAGCCAAAUUUAUUUCAUGAAAUAAUCAUCAAAACAGGGGCAUGUCUGCAACUGCCCAAAGUGAAAUCAGGGCCAUUUUCUAUAUUACUUGUGAUAAAUGGGAAACUUUUCAUUUAAAUACGAAAAGGAUGUAUGUGAAUUACUGAUGUCUCCCCCAACCCUCCCAUGUCUCAUCUCUUCUUUAAAAAUGUCUGGGAGAGGUUAUCAUUAAGGGAAGAGUUAAGUGGAUGAUAUCACUCAAAAUCUUGUAGAUAAUGAAAGAUUAACUUAUACAGCCUUUUAGUUUGGUUCCUUGACAUGCUCCCACUGAAGACAAAUUCUAAAAUAAUAAAAGUUGAGAUGGAAUCCAGUAUCUUCUGCUAAUUCUUACCACUUGUCAUAAUUUUUGUCACAAAGUUACUAUUAUGAUUAAAAAAUAAGUCGAAGUGGCAUAACAAAUUGAAGAUCCAGAUUUCAGUGUGUGAUUUACAUUUAAAACACAUACAUUUUAAGAUUUUUAUGUUUUCUCAUUCUAUUUUCUUAUACUUUGGCAUUAUUUCUAGUAUAUAUAGAAACGGAAAAAUGAUUAGUGAAUACGUUCACAGAGAAAGCACAGGAAAUACACGGAAGCAAAGAUUACUACCAUCCUUGUUCACGCUAUAAACAUAUAUCUUUUGAAAACUCUUUUAGCCUCUGAGGGAAGAGGUUGCAUCUGCUAACUCUCCAGCACAUAAAAGGUAAUCAAUAAAUGUUUGAUAAAUUCUAUUUAACAGUCAUAUAGGUUUUGGGCCGGGCGCGGUGGCUCACGCCUGUAAUCCCAGCACUUUGGGAGGCCG